rnacentral:lncRNA from 10 species
UGAGGCCAAUGGCGGCUCCACCAUCCUGUGGCUAUGAUUCCUGAACUUGUGGUCUCCUCAGUUGAUGAGGUGAAGAAAGAAAGCCUGGAGAAUUAUGCACGAGCUUCUCACUGUCUCAGCCCACAAGUAACACACCUCUUUCCCUCACAGCCCACACUGGCUGGAACCAAUCACAUAGCCCUGCCUAACUGCAAGGGAGGCCAGAAAGUGCAACACUUUCUCAUGGUCACGCAUUACUGAUUGCUUUCUGGAUUGAAUAUUUGAACUCUGCUUUAGUGAUUCCUCUUGCUUAUAUGUGGGAGGAAGACCCCCUACCCUGAGCCAGCAGCUGGAGCACAGCCUGAACACACAGGGCAUGACAGAGUCGUGGGAAUCGCUGGAACGUUUCUAGAGAAGCUCUGCGUCAGAUGAAGAAGAGACAGGAGGCCCUCCAAGCAAAGGAACCACUCAUGUCAAGACAUGGGGCAAAAAGAGAGGAUGUAUUUGGAGAACAGAGAGUAACCGAAGGCUAUCAUUCAAUCAGUGAUAGUCUUCAUGGAGGCUGAGACUUCAACCACAGGACCUGGGUGGUGAUCACCACAAAAUUUCUUCCUGAACGUUCUUCUCCAACAACUUCUCACAUUCAGUUAUUCAUUCAACAAACAUUGAGCAACAACCUAAUCUUCUGGGCUCUGGAGACCGAGUUAAAAAGGAGACAGCAGGCCCCUGCCCCCGCUUCCCGACAGGUCACCACAUCUUGAGUGCUAAGACUGUCAUCACAGGGUGAGGAGGGGAAAUGAGCUCAGAGGGGCAGAACCUUCUGAAAGGGCAGAAUGGUUCAAGCAUCCCGCCAAGGUCAGAAGGCGCUGGAUCCAGGGCAAAAAUGAAGACAUAAGGGACCUUAGGUGACAAGGAAGAAGCUCCCAGGCAGCAUGUGGGAUGGACCCAAGGAGAACGUCAGAGAGAAAGAGUUCAGUCUGGUGUCUCCUGAAGCAGGUGGCAGCAUGCUGACGAAGGAGGGUGGGGUACGCAAGGAACUGGUUGCCUCUAGGACUCGCGACAAGACCUUACGGAGAAAGAAGUCAGCCAAGGAAAAACGACUGGAGUGUGGAAGAGUCUGGAAGAGCUGGACCAGGUCCACAUGGUCCGGUCAGUUCUCGAAAAAUCGAGACCCUGUGUGGUGAGGGUGAGCCAUCUUAGCAGGAAACCACAUGGAGAACAUAUUUUGGAGAGAGAUUUUGUACAGCAACCACAAUAGAAAUGUGCUUCAGGUUAAAAUUAAGCUCGGCAGGCUCGACGUAAAUGUGCAGACAAAGCAAAGCAGGAAGCCUCCCACACUAAAAAGGGAAGAUAAGAAUCACAGAAGCUGGGAUGGUUUUUAUUGAAGGGCAUUUCAAAGCAAAUACAGACAUCUACAGCAUAUUUGUAAAUCCUCCGUAUGUGUAUGGAAACACACACCUUCACACAUCAAAACUGGAUUUGUUCCUGAGUAACAAAACGUCCUAAGAACAAAAUGAAAGAAAACCAAAUAGCAGAAAAAUACUUCCAAUGUAUAUACCACAAAGGAUUAUUUAUCAACUCAACACACCAAGAGUUAAGAAAAUAAUGCAACAGGAACAAAGGGCAAAGGAUAUGUACUGGGAAGACCACAGAGAAAGAAAAUGCAAAUGGCUAAUAAUAUAAAAUAUUUCCUAGGUUCAAUAGUAAUCAGGGAAAGACAAAAUUACACUUUUGACCUCUUAGACUGGCAGUGACAAAGAUUAUUUGAGUGACCAAGCUUUAGUCAGGCUCCUGGAUCUUCUAGGCCCAUCUGGGCACUUCCUCGUAAAAUACAGUUUUAACAAAAGCCCUGCUAAAUUGGUUUACCGAGAACUCCCACCCUCAAUCGAGUUCCUUAGCCCUUCACCUUUCCUCAGGUGAGGGCUGAUCAUCCUGUCCUGUCUUCAGCAAGACUGCUCUAACGCUGACGUUUCCUUUUAGUAAUUUUCCAUCCACUGACACCCACUUGUAAUUUAUAGCCAAGGAGCAAGAUACACUGCUCCUUGGCUAUAAGUUAUUUUCCCUGUUACAUUCAGAGUUGAGCCCAAUCCCACUCCCCGACUACAAAAUCGAUAGCAGUGGUCCCUAUACCUAUUGCAAUGGUCCUAAAUAAAACCUGCCUUACCGUGCUUGAACA